UACGUAGGAGACGAGCGUUGUCCGGAGUUACUGGGCGUAAAGGGUGCGCAGGUGGCGGCGCGCGUGGGGGGUGAAAUCGCCUGGCUUAACUGGGCGGGGGCCUUCCAGACGGCGUGGCUUGAGCAGCGGAGGGGGACGUGGAAUUCCGGGUGGAGCGGUGAAAUGCGUAGAGAUCCGGAAGAACACCAGUGGCGAAGGCGGCCCGCUGGGCAGUGGCUGACGCUGAGGCGCGACAGCGUGGGGAGCAAACAGG
rnacentral:rRNA from 1 species